AAAGGGUUAAUGAAUUUGAUUCUUUUUCUUAUCUUUUUCUGUGUUGUUUUUUUGCUUCUAAUUUUUCUCCUCCCCUUCCAACACCAUUUUUACUAUUUUUUUCUUCUUUUCUUCGGGUGAACCAACGAGAUAACUCCUUACACUACACCUGUAGUUCUGGUUACACAGACACAGUUGGUCUGUUGUUAAUUCACAUUGGCAUUAAUGCCAAUAUCGGGGACAAAUAUGGUGACACACCCUUACAUUUGGCUGUUCGAAAGGUUCAGUGAAAUCAGAAUUGAAGAACAAUCAGAAAAUGACACUGUUGCUUGAAGCCGUUUCCAGGGGCCACCUCGCGAAAUGCUGUUGAUAGUGAAGGCAAUAACUGUUUGCACCUUGCUAUGAAAAGAGAUGUUUAAUUCCGAGGGUACACCCAUGGAUAUUUUAGAUGAGAUAAAUUUUACAAUUGUUUACAUAUUGACAAACGCAACAAUACUGGGCUUCGUAAAUUAAUGUCGAAAAUAAAGUCAAAAACGAAUGAGAAUGGGAAAUGAUCUGAAUUAGAGAUGAUGGAGUGCUGCACUGAGCUCAGCUUGAGCAAAGACGAAAGGUUCUCUGGCCUUGUGGUUACCAGAUAUCUAGCCAGCCAUUGGACCUCAUUAAAAACUCAAAUUUGAAAACAAAAUUACAAACAUUUUUACCGCCACAAUGAUUGUGGUGCAGAAAUAAAGCGGCCACAACAAAAGUUCAUCCCUGUGGACACCUUGUGACAUGUGAAGAAUGUUCAAACGUUCCACUGAAACGAUGUCUGAGGUGUUUAAAACCUGUAACAAGCAGAAGUCGAGUUGGUAUUUUUUUAGGAAUUCCAGCAAUUGACCAGGAUAUUAUCAAGAACGUUUUCCCUUGUGACACAGUAAAACAGAGUUAUCAAAUGCUUUGUGAGUGGUUUAUAAAUUGUAAACCAGAGGAACGUACAGUUGAGACCCUCAGAAGAGGCCUUAAAGAUGCUGAGUGCUUUUCUGCCCUUGAGUAUCUCUCAUUAUAUGAACGGUGAAUUUCUGUGUAAAUUCUGCUGUUGUUUACUCCCAGGUGAAUGCUGACCAAAGAGAGAGACCUUUGACCAAAGUAUAGAGAACCAAGAACCACAUUCUCCAAUGUGUCCUCCUUUACAAUGAUGAGGUGUGGAGUGCAGAGGAAUUAGCUACUAAUUCUAGCAGAUCUAUCUCUCACAUAAGAGAUACCCUUCACUGGUUUGGUUCCUUUGUUAGAAAUUAGCUUUUGAAAUAAAGAUAAACUUUGAAAUAUC